rnacentral:sRNA from 2 species
UAUGUACCUCAUAGCCAGUUAAAAUAUCUGGAUCACGCUGCCUUACAACAUCAACCAGUCUCGUUAAAAGAUCAAGCUCGUAAUGCCAGCAGAAUCAUCGUCGUCAUUGAUCUCAGUUUCGCCAUCCUGCACGCACCAGAAAACACAGGAGAUUUCAUCCUCUUCGGGAUUUGGAACUAAAGUGCCACGUGUAUUCACAUGAACCUCGAGACUCAUAACACUCAUAUAUUGAGCCUCUUGUCGUACGUUCCUCGCCGGUUUUUUCUGAGAAUACUUGAAUCCAUGGCGAUUCUUUUGUGUUGGUCCCUCAAUC